rnacentral:rRNA from 1 species
CAGUCGCCACGGGAAUACAGAGGAUGCAAGCGUUAUCCGGAAUGAUUGGGCGUAAAGCGUGCGCAGGCGGUUUUGUAAGACAGGCGUGAAAUCCCCGGGCUCAACCUGGGAAUGGCGCUUGUGACUGCAAAGCUAGAGUGCGGCAGAGGGGGAUGGAAUUCCGCGUGUAGCAGUGAAAUGCGUAGAUAUGCGGAGGAACACCGAUGGCGAAGGCAAUCCCCUGGGCCUGCACUGACGCUCAUGCACGAAAGCGUGGGGAGCAGACAGGAUUAGAUACCCCCGUAGUCCCUGUCUCUUAUAC